ensembl:lncRNA
CUGCCAAGCCUGGAAGAAGAAAGAAUAGAAGCCUUAUUACUGCCAGCAUUGUUAAUGCUAUAAAUAGGAACGGUGAAGAGAAGAGUCCUCAUGCCUUUGAAAUGGAGAUGAUUUUUUGAUUUUCUAAUACUGAUUAUUUGUAAAACAAUACUCAUAUGUAUUGCCGAGACUGAUGCCACAAGUCAACAUGAUAGUCGGCCACAUCACUUUAGAGACACCUCUCAUCACGCCCAGUACUGUUCCCUGUUACCUGCGGAUUUGCCGUGCCCCUGGUGUGACGUACCUGCAGGAAGGUGACUGAGAUGGCGCAGAUGCACAGAGUCUGUAUGUUUCUCACAUUAGAAACUUGAAGAGUGAUCAAGGCAGACCCUGUUCCUGCUGUCAGGGAGAGAGAGGCAGACAACGAGCAGAUGCCCAGGUUUGGUGGUAUCUGCAGUGAAAUGUGCCUUGAAGAAAACCAGUGCAAUGUAAAGGGGGAAUACAGGUGUGAUGCAGGGGGUCAGACACAGGACUGCACCCUGGGCCGCCUCUGAUGGAAACUCCAAGAUUCUAUGACUUCCCUGAGAGCUCCUCUGCCAGGAAAUGCCAGCUUCAGCUUAGCGCAAGGAGGAGCCUGACCCUGCAGAUAACUCACUUUGUGGAAGGCAUUCUGGAGGAGGCGAUGACCAGCAAACUACACUCCCGUGUUUCCAGAGCUGUUAAAUCAGCCAGUGAGGAGACGGCCAUGAAUACAAAUUGCUCUAUUGCACGAAAGCAUGUGGUUAAAUGGUACCAAAGAAAGAAAAAUCAGAAUCAGGAGGAGGAAUUUAGGAGAGCUUGAUGAGAUCCAAACGAAGACGAAAAUCAAGGCAGAAUCUGUGAGUGGCUGAAGACAGAAAAGGAAGGCCAUGUAGCCCACACGCAGUCCCACUGAACGUUGGAAAAGGGAAGUGGGAGGGGGGAAGCCACUGCAUCCAGGCACCUAGAGACCGGUUGGUCCAGGAUGGGCCAAGAGUGGCUGUGGGGAGAGGAGGCUGCGGGCAACCACGGUCGUUCAACCAUGUGGUUGUGGUGAAUGCCUGCAAGGCUGCGCUUCGGAACUGGGAGGAGCUGGCUAUCAGCUAGGAAGUGGCAAAACCAGAAUUUGGGCUCCAGAAGUGUAAAGUGUAACUCUGGUGCUUGGCCUCAACCACAAUGUCACAUUGCCUGUCUUACUGAAAGGAAACUGAGGCUCAGAUGGGCUGAGUGAGCUGCCCAAGGUCACAGAGCUGGAAGUAGCAGGGCUGAGAUUUCAAUACAGGUCUCCUGGUGCCAAAGCUGAAGCAGAUCCCACCCGUCUUGCCUCUCACAGCUAAGGCGGACACAAGGACACAGCUGGUCCUGCUUUCAUCCUUCCAGGACUCUGCCUGCCUGGGGAGGGGUCGAGGUAGAGAGGGAGGGCUGGGCUGAGGCUAUUCUUUCAGCUGCAGUCAUGUGGUUGGGGAGAGGUUGGGAGUCGUGCUGAGUCCUUCUCAACAUGUCUGUCUAAAAAGAGACUUGGAGCUCACCUAAGUUCUCCUUUUGGGGUGCUUGUCAUUUGUCCUGGCAGGAAAUGGCUUGACUAGACACCUCCUCAGCAUCUAAAAAGGCUACCAGCUGUGUACAAGGAGAGAGCACUAGGCUAUGUUCGCCCAAGGAGAGGAGGGGAAGGGCAAAGCCUUUCAACUCACCCCCUUUGCAUGUGCCUUUCUGCCUCACGAUUUGCUUUAAGAGCGCUCAUUAUUUUACUUGAGGCAGUAACACAGCCUGAAUCCUUACUGGAACCAGCAUUCAAUCAUGGCUCAAAGUCCAAAUUUAUCUCUGAGCUGGCGAGACUCCUGAGCCAGGUACGUGCGUUCCAUGCAAUGCUUGACUGUCUCUGGAGUGAUCUUGAGAGGUAAGCCAGGGACAGUGUGGGAGGAGGGAAGGGCACACAGUGUGCCCUGGGUAUUAUCAUCUCUGCUGCAUCACGAGGGGACUGGGACUGAGAGAAGGGAAUCCAUUCCAGAGAGGUGGAAUGUGAUUUACCGUCUCCUUUCCACUCCUGCCGUAACCCCCUUAGUCCUGCGGUAGCAGUGUCUGCGGGCACCACCUGUCCUAUAACAGGGGGGGAUCCCUGUGCCUCUGUAAUUCCUGUGACUCCUGCCUCAGCUUCUGGUCUGCUGCCAAUGCUAGGGCAUGUGCUGGACCCUGCCUUUAUUCCCAGAGCAUCUCCUCUUCUGAAAUCUUCAUUUCCAAUGCUUCACCUUCUGACUGCAGCCUCCACAAUAUGCCUUCAUAGCUGAGCCCUGCUGGAGAAAAAUCACAUGGCCUGUAGAUUGGCCUGGGGCCCAGCCUCAGUGGGGCACUUGAUGCCACCCAGCAGCCACUUGACCUGGUCCUCUGGCUGAUUCCCCUUAAUGACCAUCCACACCUUCACCACUUUCUUCAGGCCCUUCACCCCACUGUUGCCCACUCUGUCACCUACUUUACUGAGCAAGCUGCUGUGGGUUGGGUGUCCCAUGCACUUGCCAUGUGGGUUUAUAAUGAUUUAUUUAUGCAUUUAUUUCCCCAACCUGACUGCAUUGUUCUUUGGGUCAGGUUCUGUCUCCUACUCAUCUUCCUGUCCCUGUUGCCUGACCCAGCAC